rnacentral:rRNA from 1 species
AAAUGAAUAGACGGGGGCCCGCACAAGCGGUGGAGCAUGUGGCUUAAUUCGAGGCAACGCGAAGAACCUUACCUGGGUUUGACAUCUAACUGACCGCCGAUGAAAGUCGGUUUCUCUUCGGAGCGGUUAGACAGGUGCUGCAUGGCUGUCGUCAGCUCGUGUCGUGAGAUGUUCGGUUAAGUCCGGCAACGAGCGCAACCCGUACUGUCAGUUACCAGCGCGUCAUGGCGGGGACUCUGGCAGGACUGCCCGUGUCAAGCGGGAGGAAGGCGCGGAUGACGUCAAGUCCGUAUGGCCCUUACGUCCAGGGCUGCACACGUGCUACAAUGGUCGGUCUAGUGGGCUGCAACGCCGCGAGGCGAAGCCAAUCCCUAAAACCGACCCCAGUUCAGAUUGCAGUCUGCAACUCGACUGCAUGAAGUCGGAAUCGCUAGUAAAGGCGUAUCAGCAACGACGCCUUGAAUACGUUCCCGGGCCUUGUACACACCGCCCGU